rnacentral:rRNA from 1 species
CAGUCGCCGCGGGAAUACGAAGGGGGCUAGCGUUGUUCGGAUUUACUGGGCGUAAAGCGCACGUAGGCGGACGCUUAAGUCAGGGGUGAAAUCCCGAGGCUCAACCUCGGAACUGCCUUUGAUACUGGGUGUCUUGAGUCCGGGAGAGGUGAGUGGAACUGCGAGUGUAGAGGUGAAAUUCGUAGAUAUUCGCAAGAACACCAGUGGCGAAGGCGGCUCACUGGCCCGGAACUGACGCUGAGGUGCGAAAGCGUGGGGAGCAAACAGGAUUAGAUACCCCUGUAGUCCCUGUCUCUUAUAC